rnacentral:rRNA from 1 species
AUAAUAAUUAGGUUUUUAAUUGAAAUCUAGAAUGAAUGAUUGGACGAGAUACAGGCUGUUUUAUAGUAAUUAAUUAAAACUUAAUUUUUUAGUCAAAAAGCUAAAAUUUUAUUAAAAGACGAGAAGACCCUAUAAAUCUUUAUAAUAAAUUUAUUUUAAUAAAUUAUUUUAUUUAAAUUAAUAGUUUUAAUAAUAAAUUAUUUUAUUGGGGUGAUACAAAAAUUUGAUAAACUUUUUUAUUAAUAUUACUUAAAUUAAAGAUUUAUAAAAAUAUGAUCUACUAUUAGUAAUUCAAAGAAUAAGAUACUUUAGGGAUAACAGCGUAAUUUUAAUUUUAAGUUCUCAUUAAAAUUAAAGAUUGC